UGCUGGGAUUACAGGCUUGAGCCACCGCGCCCGGCCUGAGCCCUGGUCUUGAGCAUCAGCCCUGGUCCCCAGCCCUCCUCCGUUAGGAAACACAGUGUCACUGGCUGGGCCUUGAGUGAGCAACCCUUCUGGGGGUGUCUUGUCCCUGCUGUCCCCAUUCUGGGCCAUCUCCUCCUGCAUGUUGACUUCUCCUUCUCCCCCUACAGCAGAGCCACUGGGCGGCCUUGUUCAUUUCUGGUGCUGGUUGGCAGCCACAGUCCAGGGCUGAGCUAACCUGAGCAAGGAUCCUGAUGCCUGCCCACUGGAUGCUUGCCUUGCUGGGAUGCACCCUGUGGGGAUAACUUUUCUAUUACUCCAUU